rnacentral:rRNA from 1 species
UACAGAGGUCUCAAGCGUUGUUCGGAUUCAUUGGGCGUAAAGGGUGCGUAGGUGGCGUGGUAAGUCGGGUGUGAAAUUUCGGAGCUUAACUCCGAAACUGCAUUCGAUACUGCUGUGCUUGAGGACUGGAGAGGAGACUGGAAUUUACGGUGUAGCAGUGAAAUGCGUAGAUAUCGUAAGGAAGACCAGUGGCGAAGGCGGGUCUCUGGACAGUUCCUGACGCUGAGGCACGAAGGUCAGGGGAGCAAACGGG